rnacentral:rRNA from 1 species
GGUUAUGGUAGGGCAUCUUAUGGCUAUUCGAGCGAAGGACAAGGAACUUGCUCCUUUGACGUUAGCGGCGGACGGGUGAGUAACACGUGGGUAACCUACCUAUAAGACUGGGAUAACUUCGGGAAACCGGAGCUAAUACCGGAUAAUAUUUCGAACCGCAUGGUUCGAUAGUGAAAGAUGGUUUUGCUAUCACUUAUAGAUGGACCCGCGCCGUAUUAGCUAGUUGGUAAGGUAACGGCUUACCAAGGCGACGAUACGUAGCCGACCUGAGAGGGUGAUCGGCCACACUGGAACUGAGACACCGUCAGACUCCUACGGAGCAGCAGUAAGGAUCUCCGCAUGGGCGAAAGCCUGACGAGCACGCCGCGUGAGUGAUGACGUCUCGAUCGUAAAACUCUGUUAUUAGGAAGAACAUACGUGUAAGUAACUAUGCACGUCUGACGGUACCUAAUCAGAAAGCCACGGCUAACUACGUGCCAGCAGCCGCGGUAAUACGUAGGUGGCAAGCGUUAUCCGGAAUUAUUGGGCGUAAAGCGCGCGUAGGCGGUUUUUUAAGUCUGAUGUGAAAGCCCACGGCUCAACCGUGGAGGGUCAUUGGAAACUGGAAAACUUGAGUGCAGAAGAGGAAAGUGGAAUUCCAUGUGUAGCGGUGAAAUGCGCAGAGAUAUGGAGGAACACCAGUGGCGAAGGCGACUUUCUGGUCUGCACUGACGCUGAUGUGCGAAAGCGUGGGGAUCAAACAGGAUCAGAUACCCUGGUACUCCACACCGUAACGAUGAGUGCGAGUGUUGGGGGUUUCGCCCCUUGUGCGCGCUAACGCUUAAGCCUCCGCCUGCGAGUAGACCGCAGGCUGAAACUCAAACGAAUAAAGCGGCCCACACAAGCGGUGCAGCACGUGAUAUAAUGAGAAGCAAGCGAAGAACUUACCAAAGCUGGCUCCAUGCAACUCUGAAUGACUUCCCCGUCGGGAGACAAAGUACGGUACUGCACGGUUGUCUCGCAGAGCUGAGAUCGAGUUAAUCCCCAACGAGCGCAACCCUUAGCGUGAGACAAUUAGAUGCGCCAUAAGGUGACUGCCGGUGACAAACCGGAGGAAGGUGGGGAUGACGUCAAAUCAUCAUGCCCCUUAUGAUUUGGGCUACACACGUGCUACAAUGGACAAUACAAAGGGCAGCGAAACCGCGAGGUCAAGCAAAUCCCAUAAAGUUGUUCUCAGUUCGGAUUGUAGUCUGCAACUCGACUACAUGAAGCUGGAAUCGCUAGUAAUCGUAGAUCAGCAUGCUACGGUGAAUACGUUCCCGGGUCUUGUACACACCGCCCGUCACACCACGAGAGUUUGUAACACCCGAAGCCGGUGGAGUAACCAUUUGGAGCUAGCCGUCGUAUAGAUGAACCGUAUGUG